rnacentral:rRNA from 1 species
CACGUAGGCACCAAGCGUUGUCCGGAUUUAUUGGGCGUAAAGAGCUCGUAGGCGGUUCAGUAAGUCAGGUGUGAAAUCUUUGGGCUUAACCCAAAGCGUGCACUUGAUACUGCUGUGACUUGAGUUCGGUAGGGGAGUGGGGAAUUCCUAGUGUAGCGGUGAAAUGCGCAGAUAUUAGGAGGAACACCGGUGGCGAAGGCGCCACUCUGGGACGGUACUGACGCUGAGACGCGAAAGCGUGGGGAGCGAACAGG